rnacentral:lncRNA from 1 species
CACUGUGUCACUGUCACUGUCACUGUGUCACUGUCACUGUGUCACUGUGUCACUGUCACUGUGUCACUGUCACUGUCACUGUGUCACUGUCACUGUCACUGUGUCACUGUGUCACUGUCACUGUCACUGUCACUGUGUCACUGUGUCACUGUGUCACUGUGUCACUGUCACUGUGUCACUGUCACUGUGUCACUGUGUCACCGUCACUGUGUCACUGUCACUGUGUCACUGUGUCACUGUCACUGUGUCACUGUCACUGUCACUGUGUCACUGUCACUGUGUCACCAUCGCUGUCACCGUCACUGUCACUGUGUCACUGUCACUGUGUCACUGUCACUGUGUCACUGUGUCACUGUCACUGUGUCACUGUGUCACUGUCACCAUCAAUGUCACUGUCACUGUGUCACUGUCACUGUGUCACUGUCACUGUGUCACUGUCACUGUGUCACUGUGUCACUGUCACCAUCAAUGUCACUGUCACUGUGUCACUGUCACUGUGUCACCAUCGCUGUCACCGUCACUGUGUCACUGUCACUGUCACUGUCACUGUGUCACUGUCACUGUCACUGUGUCACCGUCACUGUCACUGCCACCGUCACCAACACCGUCACCGUGUCACUGUCACUGUGUCACCGUCACUGUCACUGUCACCAUCAAUGUCACUGUCACCGUCACUGUCACUGUGUCACUGUGUCACUGUCACUGUGUCACUGUCACUGUCACUGUGUCACCGUCACCGUCACUGUAUCACUGUCACCAUCACUGUCACUGUCACUGUCACUGUGUCACCGUCACUGUCACCAUCACCGUCAAUGUCACCGACACCGUCACUGUCACCGUGUCCUCCAGAGCCUUGGGCUGCCCUGGACACCUCCGAGAGUCCUCCAAGAUCCCUGGGUGUCCCUCAGGUGUCCCCCAGGUGUUACCCAAGACCUUCAGGUGUCACCCAAGACCCUCAGGUGUCACCCAAGACCCUCAGGUGUCCCCAAGGACCUUCAGGGGUCACCCAAGAUCUUCAGGUGUCACCUAAAACCCUCAGGUGUCCCCCAGGUGUGCCCCAGCACCCUCAGGUGUCACCCAAGACCGUCAGGUGUCACCCAAGACCCUCAGGUGUCACCCAAGAUCUUCAGGUGUCCCCAGGAACCUUCAGGUGUCCCCCAGCCAUGUCCCCAAGGCAGGUCUGGUGGCCCAGGGACAGUUUGGUGUCCGUCCCCAAGGUGGGUCUGGUGUCCC